GUUAUCACAUCUAGGGUUCUGAUUCUGAACUUUGCUCCCUAAAAUCUCUAGAACCAUCACUUCCGCUCCACCAUCACCAAUCGAAUCAUCCUCUACUCCACCUCAUUGUCGAUGAUCCAAAACCCUAAUCGCUCCCAAAAAUGGAAACCGUUGGACUUCAGCAAUGAGCAAAUGAUUUCUUAGGGUUCGGUUUGUUGGGAACUAUGACUAACGGUCUUGUUAUUCUUAAUCGAAGAUUACAGGUCAAGGAUGAAAUAGUAGGUUACAAGUAGUAGAAGCAAGGAUACAAGUUUGAUUUUCAAAGGAUUUCACCACCAACAGGAACAAAUGGGUCAAAACUGAUCUACUGCUGGGUUUCGGUUUGUUUUUUUUUUGGCAUGAAAUUUAGCUAUAUAUAUCCAACAUGGAUUUUGAUACCAGAAGUUGAGCACAGAGCAAAGCU
rnacentral:lncRNA from 1 species